rnacentral:rRNA from 1 species
CCAGACUCCUACGGGAGGCAGCAGUGGGGAAUAUUGCACAAUGGGCGAAAGCCUGAUGCAGCAACGCCGCGUGAAGGAAGAAGGGUUUCGGCUCGUAAACUUCUAUCAACAGGGACGAAAGAAAUGACGGUACCUGAAUAAGAAGCCCCGGCUAACUACGUGCCAGCAGCCGCGGUAAUACGUAGGGGGCAAGCGUUAUCCGGAUUUACUGGGUGUAAAGGGAGCGUAGACGGCAGUGCAAGUCCGGAGUGAAAGCCCGGGGCUCAACCCUGGGACUGCUCUGGAAACUGUAAAGCUGGAGUGCGGGAGGGGCAGGCGGAAUUCCUGGUGUAGCGGUGAAAUGCGUAGAUAUCAGGAGGAACACCGGCGGCGAAGGCGGCCUGCUGGACCGUAACUGACGUUGAGGCUCGAAAGCGUGGGGAGCAAACAGGAUUAGAUACCCCCGUAU